CUAACGGGAGAUUUCUGUUGUUACCAGAAUAUUGUAGGAAGGGUGGACUAUGAAGGGAAACACUGGUGUUCUAAGAUAGAUGUUCUGUGUUUGAGAUCUUGCCUUGGUAGCUGGAUGCCUUGGUGCAAGACAUUCAAGGUUGUUUGAUGCGUUCGUGCUCGUCGGCGGGACGGUGCAAGGCGCAACUCCAACGCGGUUCCUCGCCGGUUGGACGGCGUUCAGGCGCAACCCCGGCGCGCACUGAGUACUGCCUCGGCUACAGCCUCCCUCGGUGAGGUCCAUCUUCCUCCCGCUCCUCUGCUUCGGCUACUGUAUGGGACAUUGCCAUGGCUAUAUUGAUGUGGUGCUUGUCUGGUUGAUGCUCUAUGCCCUACUCAUGCAUCGGUUCCUACUUGAGCUCUGUACUUGUGGAUCCAUGCCAUUUUAGGGUUUGCAGGCUGUUGUUCAUGUUUAGUUGCUAUCAUAGGAGCUAAUGUGAUGCUCUGGUUUACAUGUGGAUGCCCUGGUCCUAUAGCUAUGCUCCUGGAUUUGCUAGAUUGAUCAGUGGCAUUCGUGCUAGGGCGAUGAUGAUUAAUCGUGGCUGAAAUAAGUGUGCCUUUGAGCAAUCGUGGCACCUGUGCGUAUCAGAUUGAUCUGGUGAUAAGAGAUGACGGGGGUACGUUAUAUGAUCGAGGAAAGGUGAAUCUGAGCCCGCUAUGCAUCCCCUUGU